AUUGAACGCUGGCGGCAGGCCUAACACAUGCAAGUCGAACGAGUCGCGGACGGGUGAGAAGUGUCUGGGAAACUGCCUGAUGGAGGGGGAUCACUACUGGACACGGUCGCUAAUCCCGCAUACUAUCGGAUGUGCCCAGAGGGGAUUAGCUAGUAGGUGGGGUAAAGGCUCACCUAGGACACGAUCCCUAGCUGGUCUGAGAGGAGGACCAGCCACACUGGAACUGAGACACGGUCCAGACUCCUACGGGAGGCAGCAGUGGGGAAUAUUGGGCAAUGGGCGCAAGCCUGAUACAGCCAGGCCGCGUGUAUGAAGAAGGCCUUCGGGUUGUAAAGUACUGUCGGCGGGGAGGCGUUAGCCGCAGAAGAAGCACCGGCUAACUCCGUGCCAGCAGCCGCGGUAAUAC
rnacentral:rRNA from 1 species